UACGUAGGUGGCAAGCGUUAAUCGGAAUUACUGGGCGUAAAGCGCACGCAGGCGGUCUGUCAAGUCGGAUGUGAAAUCCCCGGGCUCAACCUGGGAACUGCAUUUCGAACUGGCAAGCUAGAGUCUUGUAGAGGGGGGUAGAAUUCCAGGUGUAGCGGUGAAAUGCGUAGAGAUCUGGGGGAACAUCCGUGGCGAAGGCGGCACCCUGGACCAGCACUGACGCUGAGGCACGAAAGCGUGGGGAGCAAACAGG
rnacentral:misc_RNA from 1 species